rnacentral:rRNA from 1 species
GAACGAACGCUGGCGGCGCGUUUUAAGCAUGCAAGUCGAACGGUAACCAUCCUUCGGUGAUGGCUAGAGUGGCGAACGGGUGAGUAACACGUAGGUGAUCUGCCCUUGAGUUGGGGAUAGCCCAUGGAAACAUGGGGUAAUACCGAAUACGCUCGCGACCCUGUGGGGAUGUGAGGAAAAGCGCCUCGGCGCUGCUCGAGGAUGAGCCUGCGGCUGAUUAGUUAGUUGGUGGGGUAACGGCCUACCAAGGCGACGAUCAGUAGCCGGCCUGAGAGGGUGAGCGGCCACACUGGGACUGAGAUACGGCCCAGACUCCUACGGGAGGCAGCAGCUAAGAAUCUUCUACAAUGGACGAAAGUCUGAUAGAGCGACGCCGCGUGGGUGAUGAAGGCCGGAAGGUUGUAAAGCCCUUUUCUAUUCGAGGAAUAAGGUGUGGAGGCAAUGCCACACUGAUGACGGUAGGGUAGGAAUAAGCCCCGGCCAAUUACGUGCCAGCAGCCGCGGUAACACGUAUGGGGCGAGCGUUGUUCGGAAUCAUUGGGCGUAAAGGGCGCGUAGGCGGAUAUGCAAGCUUGGUGUGAAAGACCGCAGCUCAACUGCGGGAGCGCGCUGAGAACUGCAUAUCUUGAGUUCAAGAGGGGAAGCUGGAAUUCCAGGUGUAGGGGUGAAAUCUGUAGAUAUCUGGAAGAACAUCAGUGGCGAAGGCGAGCUUCUGGCUUUGAACUGACGCUGAGGCGCGAAAGCGUGGGGAGCGAACAGGAUUAGAUACCCUGGUAGUCCACGCUGUAAACGAUGUGCACUAGGUGUAGGGCCGUUGAAGGCUCAGUGCCGUAGCUAACGCGUUAAGUGCACCGCCUGGGGAGUAU